GUGGUCAUAGCUUAGAUAGAAUGAAAAGCGCCUGCCCGUGAAGCAGGAGAUCGUGAGUUCGAGCCUCACUGACCACC
rnacentral:tRNA from 1 species